GAUUGGAUAAGCUAAAUAAAGCCGUCGGGCUCAUACCCCGAAAAUGAGAGCAUUCUCUCCAAUCA
rnacentral:tRNA from 1 species